CAGAGAAAUAAGCCUGGCAAAUUAUUAUGAUGCCCCAAUCCUUAGUCGCCUAAAUUUAUAGAGCCAGAUAUUUCUAUAAUUCCAAUCUCUUUGAUGCAAAUUUUAGCAACCUGAGCUAGACUUGGCGAAGUAUUUGGGCCCCAUUCCUUUAUUAUCAUAGGGAGGUAGGUGGCGAGUGGGAGCAGGAUCCUCUAUUUUAGUAUGGUAAGACCCUUGGCUUUUGGAUCCCCAGCAACAUCAUCCUUCUUCUAUGAUUCUAGAAUGGUUUGAGGAUUUGAGGGUCAUUGACAUAAUUUAGAACUCGGGGGUGCUUUCGCAAUUAAUGGAACCUUGUCCAAGACCUUUUUAACCAAAGGGAUAUAAGUCUCAUUAAGUAGAUUCCCCUCUUUUAAAAUGAUCAAGAUGACUCCUGGUAUUGGUGCUUUGAGCCUAGUGGCAUAUAUAUAGUGAAAAGUUG
rnacentral:misc_RNA from 1 species